GCGCCCUUAGCUCAGUUGUAUAGAUCAACGGCCUUCUAAGCCGUGGGUCGCAGGUUCGAAUCCUGCAGGGCGCGCUA
rnacentral:tRNA from 1 species